ACGCUCGACACCUACGUGAGGCAGCAGUGAGGAAUAUUGGUCAAUGGGCGCUAGCCUGAACCAGCCAAGUAGCGUGAAGGAUGAAGGCUCUAUGGGUCGUAAACUUCUUUUAUAUAAGAAUAAAGUGCAGUAUGUAUACUGUUUUGUAUGUAUUAUAUGAAUAAGGAUCGGCUAACUCCGUGCCCGCAGCCGCGGUAAUCUGAGCGGGCUGGCAAGGC
rnacentral:rRNA from 1 species